ACCGAGUUUUGCUAUUAGCUGUAUCUUAAGUUGCAAGCUCUUACAUUAGAAUCCUGAUGUACACAGUGAACAUAGUACACCGUAGAAUACCUAAGUAUAUUUUAUAGAAAGAUGAGCCUUCAAACCUUGGGACUACUGUUAUUUUAAGUGAAAGAGUGCUAAAAUCUCCCAACUGGCUUGAUGAUUAGAUGAAGAUGUUUAAACAUUUGGAAGUACUCGUGAAAGUCUAGAAAGUACUCGUUAUAGUCUAUAGAAAGUAAUCUUUAUAGUCUAGAAAGUACUCGUUCUAGUCUAGAACGUACCCGUUCUAGUCUAGAAAGUACCCGUUCUAGUCUAGAGAAAAACUGAGAAAAAUAAAUAGAGAAAAUGUUUCCAAGGCCAGAAAAAGACACAAAUUCAGUCGAUAGUGUUGCUUCACCUUCAAAUAGUUCUGAAGAUAUUCCGGUGCAUUUUCCUGAAAACUUUUCACUCCAGGGCGAAUCCAUCAACCUUUCACCGAGACGGGAUCAUCUCCCCAACCCUCCAAGUUCGAUAGAUUUCCCCAGUCCAAGUUCGAUAUUUUCCCUCUCUCAAACCAUAAAUACGUUAAAUCUUUUCCCGGAUAAAGUUGAAUCCCCUAGCCCGUCCUCCAGCAUAAGAGAAACUCCCCACCAAGCUCCAAAAAAUGCCGAAGUUUCUCCUCAAGGAAGGAUUGAUGAUAAGGUUUUUCCUCAAGCAAGUAAUGAUGCUACUAUAGUUCCUAGUGAGGAAAUAUAUCCCGGAGAAGAUGAAACAGUACAACUGUCUACUAGUGAGGAGAUGUAUCCCGGAGGAGGUAGAACGGUUCCACUAUCUCCUAGUGAGGAGAUGUAUCCCGGAGGAGAUAGAACGGUUCCACUAUCUCCUAGUGCGGAGAUGUAUCCCGAAGAAGAUAGAACGGUUCCUCUGUCUCCAGCCCCUCAUCAGAUUCUUCUAGCUUCAGCGUUUAUGGAUGAUGCUAGAAAUGGUCAUCAUAUGGAGUUCGAACCUACAGUCUCGGCAGUAAACCUGUACAACUGGUAUAAGAGUUGGUACAUGCAGUGGAUUAUGUACUGUGCCCUGCUGUUGUACCUGGCUCUUGUACUUGUAGAGGAGCCUGCUGUUCCAGGGUUACAUGUACAGUUUUAUAUAUCGAUGGUAGUAGAGGUUCUGUGUUUGGCAUUUUUCUUAUUCAGGCUGGGGCAUGAAUACUGGUUUUCUUCUAAGACACGGUUCUGGCGGGAUGAAAAGCAUAUAGUACUGGUCGUGCUUAUAUUUGCUUCAGUUCUUGACAUCUGCAUCUACUGUGCUUUAGCUGGGUUUAGUAUCACGUCCAUCAGAGUUUCUCGUCCUUUCCGUCCUUUCUUCCUAGUUAAUAUACCAGAAGGUCGUCAGAUGAGACGCGCAUUCAGAAAUAUCAGACGCACGCUUCCAGAGAUAUUUUCCGUGCUUGUCCUUUUUCUUCUUAUUAUCGCAGUUUUUUCGCUCAUGGCUUGCAAGAUUUUUGGACACAGGGGCUGGGCAAAGACUUCUGGAGGACCUUACUUUGAUAACUACCUGGAUUCCUACUGGGAUCUCUACGUCCUAGUAACUACAGCAAAUAAUCCUGAUAUCAUGAUGCCAGCUUACGAUCAGAAUCCAUGGUUAUCCCUGUUCUUUAUUAUCUUUAUCAUCAUCUGCGUUUACAUCUUUAUGUCCAUAUUCCUGGCCGUGGUGUAUAACAAUUACAGAUCCAAUUUGAAGAAUGAGAUACAAGAAGCCUUACGUAGAAAACGAAAAUUAUUAAAAACAGUUUUUGAUCUGAUGAAAAGUAAAGAAAACGGAAAGGAAGUUAUUAGAGAACAAGACUUUGCUAAACUUAUUCAGUUAACUCUGCCCAGGAAGAGCCAACAAUACACUAAGAUGGUUUGGUGUGUCCUGGACGCUGAUAAUAACGGAUAUUUAGACCAAAAGGAGUUUUUAAAUGUAGCUGAUCUUUUGAAUAUCCCUGUCACAGAAGUCCUACCAAAUUUAUUUGAAAGACAUGUUCCCAACAUUUAUCAAUCUUCCUCAUCAACUAUACUCAAAUCAGUGGUCAAACAUAAGUGGUUCAGAUACAUAUUUGAUAGUAUCAUCAUUAUCAACGCCUUCUUCAUCCUCUUCGAUAUGCCCGAUGGAUACGAGUUCGGUUUCCUAACCGUAUUUAUUAUUGAGAUCCUCUUGAAGAUUUACACUUUUGGAUUCUAUAUGUUUAGUCGUAAACUUUGGAACGUGUUUGAUGUAAUCGUGAUCGGAUUAGCAUUCAUAAUUUCAAUCAUUGAAGUUAUUCGGGGAGAUGAAUUUGACAGCAGGCUGAUAUUGGAUAUUAUGCUAGUGCUCAGGGUUCUUAGGAUUGUUAAAAUAUUCCAUAGCCUAGGGCGGUUCAGAACUAUUCUGAACACUAUCAUGCUCAUUCUACCCUCCAUGCUCACAUAUGCCGGGGUGCUCUUUGUAUUUUUCUACUUCUUCGCUGUGAUAGGACUAGAGGCGUUCAAGGGUAGUAUUGAGUUCUAUGGGCCUGAUGACAAUAGCCUUGAGAUAGAUCAAUUGAACUGUGGAAAUAUCAACUUGGAGAACUCUGAGUUUGCCCGACAAAAAUACUGUGGAAACAAUUUCAACAAUAUAUUACGAGCAUUUGUUGUUUUGUUUGAACUGCUGGUGGUUAAUCAAUGGCACGUGAUUGCCAAUGGAUAUGAACUGGCGGUAGGAUCCAGGUUUACAAGAAUAUACUUCAUCUGCUUUCACCUCCUCUCCGUCAUCAUUGUUCUCAAUAUCUUCACCGCCUUUGUUCUCGAGGUGUUCAUACAUGAAUACUCCUUUACCAAGGGUAGGCUGGAAUCAUCCCUUGAAGUAAAGAUCAAUGAGAUGGGACUAGGUUUGGGAAGUCGUCCUAUUCAAAAUACUCGACAUAAACCAGACGAUCAGUCAAGACAGUCUAUAAUCGAAGAUGAUCAACUAGCGAAUGACGAGAUCGAUGCUGAUCAUGAUAAUCUACAGUUUGUGUGUAAUCAGCUGGCAGGUUUGUCCACUAGAUAUACAGAUUACUCUGCUGACACUGCGGUUAGGUUUCAUCUCAACAAAGGAGCCCGUAACGUUCACACUAUGCUGGAGAAACUCUUUAUAAAGGAACUGGAUGAAAAUGAUCUGAACGAUGAGAGAGGGAAUGUUUUUCUAUCCUCCUAACUAACCAAUACAAACUUUUCUAGAUAUAAUUCGAGCUGAAAGGGUUUGUGCACGUAAUUUGAUGUGACCGUCUAUUUAUAGAUUGGCAUAUUGUCUCAGCAAAAAUUAUGUUUUUCUAUUUUUCUAUAAAAAUUACUUCCGGCAUAAUGCCGCAGAAAUAAGUUUCUGAAGCCGCCUUUAAAACAUCUCUGAUAGAUUUUUAAAGGCUAAAUUGUCUACGGGAAUGUUUCUUUAGUUAAAUUUCCUUAAUCAAUUGUAAAUAAUUUAAACUAUUAUUUUAAAUCCUUGUAAUUUGUAAUUGUACAAUGUGAUAUUGUAGUACUAAAUGUGAUAUACCCAUUACUCAAUAAUGUGACAUUCCAUGUUUCUGAUAAAUUAUUUAUAGAUAAUAAUAAAAUGGAAGGACAUA
rnacentral:misc_RNA from 1 species